GACGGGGGGGGCAAGUGUUCUUCGGAAUGACUGGGCGUAAAGGGCACGUAGGCGGUGAAUCGGGUUGAACGUGAAAGUCGCCAAAAAGUGGCGGAAUGCUCUCGAAACCAAUUCACUUGAGUGAGACAGAGGAGAGUGGAAUUUCGUGUGUAGGGGUGAAAUGCGUAGAUAUCGUAAAGAAGACCAGUGGCGAAGGCGGGUCUCUGGACAGUUCCUGACGCUGAGGCACGAAGGUCAGGGGAGCAAACGGG
rnacentral:rRNA from 1 species